CGCGUUAAGUCGACCGCCUGGGGAGUACGGCCCGCAAGGUUAAAACUCAAAUGAAUUGACGGGGGCCCGCACAAGCGGUGGAGCAUGUGGUUUAAUUCGAUGCAACGCGAAGAACCUUACCUGGUCUUGACAUCCACGGAAGUUUUCAGAGAUGAGAAUGUGCCUUCGGGAACCGUGAGACAGGUGCUGCAUGGCUGUCGUCAGCUCGUGUUGUGAAAUGUUGGGUUAAGUCCCGCAACGAGCGCAACCCUUAUCCUUUGUUGCCAGCGGUCCGGCCGGGAACUCAAAGGAGACUGCCAGUGAUAAACUGGAGGAAGGUGGGGAUGACGUCAAGUCAUCAUGGCCCUUACGACCAGGGCUACACACGUGCUACAAUGGCGCAUACAAAGAGAAGCGACCUCGCGAGAGCAAGCGGACCUCAUAAAGUGCGUCGUAGUCCGGAUUGGAGUCUGCAACUCGACUCCAUGAAGUCGGAAUCGCUAGUAAUCGUGGAUCAGAAUGCCACGGUGAAUACGUUCCCGGGCCUUGUACACACCGCCCGUCACACCAUGGG
rnacentral:rRNA from 1 species